GAUGAACGCUAGCGAUAUGCUUAACACAUGCAAGUCGAGGGGCAGCACAAUGUAGCUUUCUAUCUGGGUGGCGACCGGCGCACGGGUGCGUAACGCGUAUGCAACUCGUCCUAUACAGGAGGAUAACCCGUCGAAAGACGGACUAAUACUGCGUAUGCUCACUACUUGGCAUCAAGUGGUGAGGUAAGAAAUUCGGGAUAGGAUAGGCAUGCGUGCCAUUAGCUUGUUGGUGAGGUGACGGCUCACCAAGUCAACGAUAGGUAGGGGAACUGAGUGGUUUAGCCCGCACACUGGGACUGAGCACAGGACCAGAGUCAUACGGCAGGCAGUAGUGAGGAAUGUUGGAGAAUGGGAGCGAGCCUGAAGCAGGCAAGUCGCGUGAAGGAUGACUGUGUUAUGGAUUGUAAACUUCGUUUAGAAGGGCAUUACCGGCGGCAAGUGUGAGUCCGUGACUGUACCGUAUGAAUAAGCAUCGGCUAACUACGUG
rnacentral:rRNA from 1 species